ensembl:lncRNA
GUCCAAGCUUCCUGGCUGGCUUGGGAUCAGGGUGGAAACUUUCCACCCCGGGAGGAGGAUUCUCUGGAAAGUUCUGAGGCCGCCUGAGUGAGCAGAGGUUCACAGUGGGGCCCUGGCCCUUUAAAUCAUCUCUUCAGGGCUGUGGCUGAGGGGUCCCAGAGGCCAGACACCAACCUCUGCCUCCCAGAGCCCAGGCCCCAGAUCUAGGGUUGCCUCAUCCUCCCACUUACACACCGGCAUCUCCAGAACCAAGUGAUUCAAUGGGCCUAGCCCCCAGCCCAGCCAACUGACAAUGGGCGCACUGGGGAGGUCACCGAGCCCAACCGCCAGGGCUCCAAAGGGGAAAGUAAGGCCAAAGGAGAUUCUGAUUCGACUGGACACUGGGAUCUUGGGAAAAGAACAUGGGGCAGAGUUUGGGAGCCUGGCUGACUGAAAGGAGGGCGACCGCAUUGAUUGUCAGCCUGCCAAGCAUGGUGGACAUUUCCCCAGAUGGUCCCACAUCAGACAUGUGGCUUCCUCCCUGAACUUUCUGGCCAUCAGGUGUGCGUGUAUCAGUGGUCAAUGGGCUGCGAGCCCUGGAAAGAGAAGGAGCAAGGAGCAGAAAGGAGGUUAGUCCUGGAAGGAGGCAGCCGCGGGAGGAGUGAAGCCGCCUGGGCUAUGCUCUCUGGCCUGCUGAACAUGCGAUUUUCUUGCUACAUUUCGCUUGCCCAUGCCAAGCAGACACCUCCUCCCUCUCCUGCCCAGAGCGCCAGCUCUUGUAGCCAAGAGCCGCGGUUGGGAAACCAACUGACUCGGGGACCCAGUGUGAGAGUGGACGCAGCACCGGCCUCAGCAGCCAGGAGUCUGAUGGUCGGCUCUGGAAGGCUGGAGGAGGACACCCAGGAUGGAAGAGCCUGGAGCCAGGCCCAGGGGACCCCCGAAGGCCCCCAGGCUGGAGAGAGAGGGCCCAGCAGGGCGAGCUGAAUGAAGCCUCAGAGGCCAAACCUCUCAUGCCAUAGGGGAGGAGACUGAGGCACAGAAAGGUUAGGUGGCUUUCCCAGAGUCCAAAACCAGGAAGGGUCCAGGCAGGACCUGAUCUCAGGUCUUCCCAGCUGCCCACUCAGAGCUUUAUCCACUGCCCUGUGCAGCUGCCCCAAACUGGAGAACUUUCUUCAGGUUUUUGAGGGCCUUUCCUGUGGAAGACAGUGGCUGUCUAGGGCAGACUUAGGGAUGUGGGGGAAUAUUCAGACAGGCAGAUUGGGACCAACAGAAGAAAACACUGUCUGGCCAUCGGGUUCCCACACCAUGGGAGCUGGGGCUGGGAAGGGCCAACCUCCUUGACCCCAGGGGUCUGAGUGGGGCAUUUGUGGGUGAUCUCAAGCAGCCCUGCAGCUAGUGGGGACCCUCCCGGCUCUGCCAUCCCCUGUGCUAAGGCUCCUCCCAGAUUUUUCCUCCUGGGUUCCAAGGACCCUCCCAGCUCUCCCUCUCCAGGGCCGCUUGGGGACUGCCCUCCGCUUGGGUGGCCCUGCUUCAGAAGAGGGCAGAGGGCCAAACUGAAGACGGGACUGCAGGCCAGGGCAGUCAGCCUGAGAGGCUGUGUCUGUGUUUGCUCGGAGCCACCUUCUGCUCUGACUCCAGGCCUCUCUCCUGCUGGAGGAGUAAGUGCCCCUUCCUCACAGCCUCCAGGCUGAGGAAGGCUUGACCAUCUGGGCUGAGUUUCAAGGAUAAUGGCUUCCUUUGGGUUCCUCCUCUUUCCCUCCACCCCUCUCUUGGGAUUCUCAGGGCCUGGCAUACAGUAGGUGCUUAAUAAAUGCUGAAUGAGUUGAAGAUCUUUUCUCA